CAUCUUCGUGUCUGCAGGUCCUCCUUACACCUCUCUUCUCUCUGGGACUCUGAACGGCAGUCUUGCUGAUUUGAUCCCCGGAUUUUCAGUUGGGCUCCUCAACUCUCUCAAGGUGACUGGACCACUGGAAUAUGGUAUCGGACUUCUGCUAGGAGAAGGACUUCUGCAUUAGAAAAUAAAGGAAGAGGAGCAUACGCCACAGCUUCUACAAAUAGAAGAAGGCAAUGGAAUGGACUGGCCCCGACAGCUCCUAAAAGGAGUACAACUCUGCGGAUACCAUGGUUUCUUUUUUUUUAGUACCAGAAAUUGAACUCAGGACCUUUCCCUUGCCAGGUGGCUGUUUCAGACUGUAAGAUCCUGUUUUCUUGUUUUCUGUUGGGAAAAACCAAAGGCCAUCCCCCAUUCGGUGUUGAAGAAGCACGAGUAUGUGGUAGCAGGCACCAGAAAAUCACCUUUAAUUACUCCUUCCUCCAUGACAGCUAAGUGAAGCUGCUCCCAGUGGAGGAAGGGGAGCAGUCCUUAUCUGUGUAAUCGAGCCCAGGUAUAUCCAGGGGCAGGGGUGGGAAGCACCUGCUGAGUCUAGUCUGUCCCAUGGGUUUUCUCUGUUUUUUCACUUGCACAGGUCUUCUUCUGUGUUACUCUGAGGCCCAGCAUUUCUCCCCAACUCCUUAGAACUUCCCAUUGUUUAAUUUAAGAUGACAGGAAUGCAAACUCUGUGAGCAGGGAGACAGAGACUGUUUAUCUCUAUAUCUACAGGGACCAGGACCAGGUCUGACAUAUGGUAAUGUCCUAAUAAAUAAUUGUACAGUGAAAUAUCCUGAAAUCAGAAAGAAUUGGAUGAAGGUAGCCCAAGAAUAGUAUUUACAUAUCAUUUACAAACACAUAUAGGGUGUUUUAAAAGACUGGAGACAGAAAAAAGGCUAUAAAGAGAAUUUGAAGAAAAAUUUAAAUUAUCAGGUUCUUCCACAGGGAAAAAAUGAUUUGGUUCAUUAUUCAUACACACAGAAAAGUCAGAUCAGAAGCACAUAUUUUCUGUUCAUGUGCAUAUGCAUAUGCAUUGUAUGACCUCUGGAAGGCAUUUGAUACAAUUGGAAAAACUUUUUCUCUUGAAACCCUCUUAUUUUUUAUUUUUCUAUUAUUUUAAAGAGAAAAUAACAAAAACAAAGACA